UACGUUGAGAAAGUUAGCCCGAGAUCGAUGCUAUAAAUCCUCAUGUGAAUUGCCAAACGAUUAUCUCGCUGUGAUCCAGAGAUUUCUUUCCUUUCGUUUCUCGAAGGCAAUAUCGCCGCAUAAAUCGAUCAAUUUGAUCGGAACAACUUUUUCAACCGGUUAUAGCAGUCGCUACAUAAAUUAUUCGGUGAUCCUAAAAGUGAAUUAAGCGCCAUAUAUGUACUGCCUAUGGAUACGCUGGAAAGGGGAGAGGAUUCAUUAUACAUUACACCAGUUAUAGCGGGUAAAAUAUACUUCUUUUCUGUUUUUAAUUGGAAUUUAUAUACCAGGAGUGAUAUGGGAAAAUUUUCUAAACACGCUUAUUGAGUAUACUUGAAUUUUACUGCAACGGGAUUGCAAAGCGGUUUAUAAUUUGUCUCAAACGUUACUCAGCCACGAUAUGUACACGAACCGAUGGAAAAGUUAAACUUACGUUGGUUGAAACGGCACCAGACCAAAACGGGGAAAUGAUGUUAUGUUAUACAUUAUACAGCGUUUUAUAAUCGGACACGAAAGAUAAUUAAUGAAAUUAUCAGUUUUUCUUUCGUUCCGUACACAGUGGCGAGUCGAGCAUCGUGAAUUUCCAAAGGCUGUAGAAUAAGAAAAAUACGUGCAAAGUCUGGAGGUAUAUGUGAGAAUAAUAAAAAGUGGAUGACUCGAAAAAUAGGAAAACUAAUCGGCUGAAUCAUGUAUGAAUAUUUUUGUAGAAGUCGAGUUUUCAAUCGUUGAUAAAAAAAAAUCAUUUUUUUUCUCCAAAGAAUAAACGCGGGGAGCGGUACGCACAACAGGUGGCCUUCGGUACGAGGCAGUGCAGAUCAUAUGAUGUGACGAUUAUAGGCAGAUAUAUGUAAUCUGAACAAUAGCCUGCAAUAUAUGCUGCAGAUGUUACGCGAUGCAUCUGAAGAAUAAUUGGGAAUCGUCAUUUUACGUAACGAUUCGUGUACGACGGGUCACGAGAUUAUGGAAAUUGUAAACCAUAUAAAAAGCAACUAUAACGUUACGUACACGCGUAUGUAUUAUCGAUAUUAUGUCACCCAUGUAUUCGUAAAAUCGAAGACGAUUCACCGAUCUAUACGAUUAUGAAAAUUGAUCCUAAUUUUGGGUGUGCGAUUCCUUACCCUGAGUUUCAAUUUAUACCACGUCUUAAGAAAAAUCUGUUGAAAUAUGAUCGAUCUCAGCUUAUACGUGGAAUCCUUAUGAUCCUCGGCUUAUAGCUUGCCAAAUAUUCCAGAUUUUUUCAAAGACUCCGUAGACAUUCUUUUCCAAAAUUAUAAUCUACGAUUAAUUUAAUGCACGUAUGGGCCUGACGGAGGAAUACAAUGCUAAGUAUAUCGAUUAAGAAGAAAGCUUUCGAGCGAAAAGCGAUGGAGAAACUACGGUAAAUCUGAAAAGCGUGAGUUCAGGAGCCGGCUCGGUUGUAUGGCGACAGGUAGGUCGCAUCCUAUAGCAACUACCGUGAGAACGAAAUGGAAGUAUAAAGCGCCGGAUACCAUUUUUCCAAUGAAUAAUCUGUCGCUACCGCUGCGAUACAACGAAAAGGAGAAAAUCCACACACGGUUAUUUCCAACGGAAAAACCUCUGAACGCACAAAGGUGAACGAGACACUGGACACUCGGUGGUAUGCCGUAACGCACAAUUCGGCCUUUUAUAUACUUCGCACGCACUGAAAAAGCACUCCACAAACUACGACAAACUUCCUUCCAAUCGACUAACCGAGACACACAAACGAUUCGAAUACUCGCGAGAGUAAUUGGAGAUAUUGAACAAUGGGGGGCAAGUAUACGACGUAUACGCGUCCCUUCUGCGAAGGCGAAAGGACUAAAGAAGAUGGAGGUCAUGUGACGACGCCGGUAAGCCGCCGGUUUUAGCUCGAGUAGAGAGGAUAAAAUCCAGACGGUGGGCCAAUCCCAGAAGACAUGGGGUUCGCCGUAUCCCAUGGUCCGAAGUCUCUACUGGCCCAAGGGAUCAGCACUGAAAUUUCGAUCCAUGGCGUUCUCUCGCGAGGGGAACGCGAUUACGAUCUCAAAGUUUUCUAUACUACGGACUCGUUUCGUCUCAGGUGCAGGUUCUUCAAAUUUAAAAGUUAGAUCGGAGCACAACUGCGAACUAGAGAGUUGCGUUGACGUAAUUUGACGACAUCCGAGUUUCCGGGAAGUUUUGUCGCGAUAUUAGAGAAAGGCUGUCGCUUUUUUUCUUAUUGCGCUUAUAUUAUUUAGGGACAUCCGAACCUGGACAUCAACGGACGGAUCACCUGCAUCAGGACUGCAAAAUACCGAAUUCGAAUGUCCACGAUUAUCUCAGGAAUGAACACAGUGAACAAUUCGCGAUUUUCCCCCCCAUACUGAAUUCGUUGUACGAAUCGUCAAGGUGAAACGAAAAAAAUUUUUGGAGGAAAUAUUAUGCAUAUGAUAUCAUUUGAAUUCAAGAGAAUGUCUGCGAGUGGGUUAUUAACGGUAUAAAAAUAGACAGUGAUCGCAGUUAUCUUCAUCCGUUGCGCUUAUGACUGUCUCGCCGUGAUUCAUUCAUAUGUGUUGCAGCACACAACGUACGGCGGAAUGGUAGACGUAUACGUUAGACAGAUCUACCGUGCGAAAAAGGAAUGGCGAAAUAUUUUCGCUCCAGAGAUUUAAACUGAAAAAAAAAAAAAAAAAAAAAAAAAGGAAGAAAAUCCGCCGCCAGAAAUAACUUUACGCUGCACAGUCUACAUGUAUUUUACAACAUCGUAAAGAUAUAGAGAAGAAAUUUUCACGUACGCAUAUCCGGGUGUCAUUGGGUAACCUGGUCUCUGCGACUCUAUUUAAGAACAGUGAACGCCUUGCGCAAAUAUUCGCCAAUCAAUUUCAGGCACACGGUCGCUACACCGGAGUGCUACUAGAUUCGUAAAAGUUGGACUAGCCGAUUUCCAUUCACCUGCAACUCAAGAUCGAAUCUAUUUUUUUAUUCGUGGGCGGUCGGCAUACUGUACCAGAUGAACAGAUUCAAACUACCAAAGACGUCGCGGUACUCCGAACAUUAUCAUGCUCAACCUGCAUCGUCACUUACAAUUAGAUUUGGUGAGGCGUAAAGUUCUUUUCGGUUAACCGACCGAUAAAAGUGGAACUUUAAUAAAUACGGCGGAAAUAUUUAUCGCGUCCAGACGUACAUGAAUAACUUUGGAAAUUUGAAAAAAAACAUAACGUUUUAAUUCAGUCUCUUCCUUAUGAAAUAACGGAUGUUAACAAAGUGUGUGAAUAUCACACAACUAAACGGUAAAUUAUGGUCGCACAUGCAGUGAAGUAAUCGCGUCUACGCAAUGUAAUAUAUAUAUAUAUACAUAUAUAAACGAAACAAUUUUGCUACCAUAAUAAUGGGUGUGACGGAGCCUUCGGCAAACACUUGGCAGACGGUGAACGCCGAUAUAAAGAUUAGCCUGAUAAAAUCAGCAACGGAACCCAACGGGGAAAAGAAGAAAAAAUAAUACGACCAAGAGACACGCAGGCGGAAAAAAUAAACUCACGUCAGAUUUCACACGGGAUUCAAUUGCCAUCGAGCGAUGCGUUCGAUAUAUAUGUUACAUACACACCAUCGCCUAUUUGUACCACAUUCAACACCUCGGGGUACCAGGCGAUCCUGCACGCGCCUAUACGUAUGUGUACAGGCCCUUGUCUCGUCCGUGCCAAGAGUCGAGUUGGACAGGAAAUGAAAACUCGAUUACCAACUUGUGCAAUAAGGUUUCGCGGCUUAGCACGCGUUGAAGUGAAACGGAAGCAAUGGUAGGAACUCGUAAUCAGUUUGAAAUUAUUUUCGAACGUCGUGAUAUUAAUUUAGGCUGAAUCAUAAUUAUUGCACAUCAGUUGACGGCGACGAUAAUAUAAAUGAACGAGAAACGUGACGAGAUAAACGAAUGAACGUAAAUAUACUAUGAUACAUAUCCGUUAUUUUUGUAAUGC